rnacentral:rRNA from 1 species
GACAGAGGUUGCAAACGUUGUUCGGAAUUACUGGGCGUAAAGCGCGUGUAGGCGGCAGCGUAAGUCGGGCGUGAAAUCCCACGGCUCAACCGUGGAAGUGCACUCGAAACUGCGCAGCUAGAGUCCUGGAGAGGAAGGUGGAAUGCUUGGUGUAGAGGUGAAAUUCGUAGAUAUCAAGCGGAACACCGGUGGCGAAGGCGGCCUUCUGGACAGUGACUGACGCUGAGACGCGAAAGCGUGGGGAGCAAACAGG